rnacentral:snoRNA from 1 species
AAACUGUGAUGCGGGCACUUUCUCAAUAAGUCCUUGAAUCUUUCCCAAGCUUCAUACAAGCUUUCCUGAUCAUGGUGAGCAAAUUUCAUUAUCUCAUUGCGCAGUUU